CCUACGGGAGGCAGCAGUGGGGAAUAUUGCGCAAUGGGCGAAAGCCUGACGCAGCGACGCCGCGUGAGGGAUGAAGGUCUUCGGAUCGUAAACCUCUGUCAGUAGGGAAGAACGGUCACUGUGCUAAUCAGCAGUGAAUUGACGGUACCUGCAAAGGAAGCACCGGCUAACUCCGUGCCAGCAGUCGCGGUAAUACGGAGGGUGCGAGCGUUAAUCGGAAUUACUGGGCGUAAAGCGCUCGUAGGCGGUAUGUACAGUCAAGGGGGAAAUCCCCGCGCUCAACGUGGGAACUGCCUUUGAAACUGGCAAACUGGAGUGUGUGAGAGGAUAGUGGAAGUCCAGGUGUAGGAGUGAAAUCCGUAGAUAUCUGGAGGAACAUCAGUGGCGAAGGCGACUAUCUGGCACAUAACUGACGCUGAGGAGCGAAAGCGUGGGUAGCAAACAGGAUUAGAUACCCGAGUAGUC
rnacentral:rRNA from 1 species